AUUGAACGCUGGCGGCAGGCCUAACACAUGUAAGUCGAACGAGUGGCGGACGGGUGAGUAAUGUCUGGGAAACUGCCUGAUGGAGGGGGAUAACUACUGGAAACGGUAGCUAAUACCGCAUACCAUCAGAUGUGCCCAGAUGGGAUUAGCUUGUUGGUGGGGUAAAGGCUCACCAGGGCGACGAUCCCUAGCUGGUCUGAGAGGAUGACCAGCCUAACCGGAACGGCUACACGGUCCAGACUCCUACGUGAGGCAGGAGUGGGGAAUAUUGCACAAUGGGCGCAAGCCUGAUGCAGCCAUGGCGCGUGUAUGAAGAAGGCCUUCGGGUUGUAAAGUACUUUCAGCGGGGAGGCGUUACCCGCAGAAGAAGCACCGGCUAACUCCGUGCCAGCCGCCGCGGUAAUAC
rnacentral:rRNA from 1 species